AGCUUUGUGCAGUGGCACUACUGUAGCCAAUCAGGUUUAUCUGAGGCAUGAUUAUUGCUAGUUGAAAAGCAGACACAAAGGUGAUGUCAGUACCAUCUGUUUGUUGCUUUGCCAUGUUUAGUAGUUUUUCUAUAUGUUUUUUGUAGUUGGAAAAAUCCA
ensembl:snRNA U4 U4 spliceosomal RNA